rnacentral:misc_RNA from 1 species
GAUGAAGAACGUAGCGAAAUGCGAUAAGUAAUGUGAAUUGCAGAAUUCAGUGAAUCAUCGAAUGUUUGAACGCACAUUGCGCCCUCUGGUAUUCCGGGGGGCAUGCCUGUUCGAGCGUCAUUAUAACCACUCAAGCUCUCGCUUGGUAUUGGGGUUCGCGGUUUCGCGGCCCCUAAAAUCAGUGGCGGUGCCUGUCGGCUCUACGCGUAGUAAUACUUCUCGCGAUUGAGUUCGAUAGGUCUACUUGCCAGUAACCCCCAAUUUUUACAGGUUGACCUCGGAUCAGGUAGGGAUACCCGCUGAACUUGAGCAUAUCAAUAAGCGGAGGA